GAAAGCGCCCGAUCUCGUCUGAUCUCAGAAGCUAAGC
rnacentral:rRNA from 1 species